ensembl:snRNA U6 U6 spliceosomal RNA
AUGCUCAUUUUGGCAGCACAUAUACUAAUAUUGGAAGGAUAGAGAGAAGAUUAGCAUGGCCCCUGCGCAAGGAUGACACGUAAAUUCGUGAAGCGUUCCAUAUUAAA